AACGAACGCUGGCGGCAUGCCUAACACAUGCAAGUCGAACGAUCCCUUCGGGGAUAGUGGCGCACGGGUGCGUAACGCGUGGGAACCUGCCCUUAGGUUCGGAAUAACUCAGAGAAAUUUGAGCUAAUACCGGAUAAUGUCUUCGGACCAAAGAUUUAUCGCCUUUGGAUGGGCCCGCGUUGGAUUAGCUAGUUGGUGGGGUAAAGGCCUACCAAGGCGACGAUCCAUAGCUGGUCUGAGAGGAUGAUCAGCCACACUGGGACUGAGACACGGCCCAGACUCCUACGGGAGGCAGCAGUGGGGAAUAUUGGACAAGGGGCGAAAGCCUGAUCCAGCAAUGCCGCGUGAGUGAUGAAGGCCUUAGGGUUGUAAAGCUCUUUUACCCGGGAUGAUAAUGACAGUACCGGGAGAAUAAGCCCCGGCUAACUCCGUG
rnacentral:rRNA from 1 species